AGAACGAACGCUGGCGGCAUGCCUAAUACAUGCAAGUCGAACGAAGGCUUCGGCCUUAGUGGCGCACGGGUGCGUAACGCGUGGGAAUCUGCCCCUUGGUUCGGAAUAACAGUUGGAAACGACUGCUAAUACCGGAUGAUGACGAAAGUCCAAAGAUUUAUCGCCAAGGGAUGAGCCCGCGUAGGAUUAGCUAGUUGGUGAGGUAAAGGCUCACCAAGGCGACGAUCCUUAGCUGGUCUGAGAGGAUGAUCAGCCACACUGGGACUGAGACACGGCCCAGACUCCUACGGGAGGCAGCAGUAGGGAAUAUUGGACAAUGGGCGCAAGCCUGAUCCAGCAAUGCCGCGUGAGUGAUGAAGGCCUUAGGGUUGUAAAGCUCUUUUACCCGAGAUGAUAAUGACAGUAUCGGAGAAUAAGCCCCGCUAACUCCGUGCCAGCAGCCGC
rnacentral:rRNA from 1 species